rnacentral:rRNA from 1 species
AACACAUGCAAGUCGAGCGGAUGACGGGAGCUUGCUCCUUGAUUCAGCGGCGGACGGGUGAGUAAUGCCUAGGAAUCUGCCUGGUAGUGGGGGACAACGUUUCGAAAGGAACGCUAAUACCGCAUACGUCCUACGGGAGAAAGCAGGGGACCUUCGGGCCUUGCGCUAUCAGAUGAGCCUAGGUCGGAUUAGCUAGUUGGUGGGGUAAUGGCUCACCAAGGCGACGAUCCGUAACUGGUCUGAGAGGAUGAUCAGUCACACUGGAACUGAGACACGGUCCAGACUCCUACGGGAGGCAGCAGUGGGGAAUAUUGGACAAUGGGCGAAAGCCUGAUCCAGCCAUGCCGCGUGUGUGAAGAAGGUCUUCGGAUUGUAAAGCACUUUAAGUUGGGAGGAAGGGCAGUAAGUUAAUACCUUGCUGUUUUGACGUUACCGACAGAAUAAGCACCGGCUAACUCUGUGCCAGCAGCCGCGGUAAUACAGAGGGUGCAAGCGUUAAUCGGAAUUACUGGGCGUAAAGCGCGCGUAGGUGGUUUGUUAAGUUGGAUGUGAAAGCCCCGGGCUCAACCUGGGAACUGCAUCCAAAACUGGCAAGCUAGAGUACGGUAGAGGGUGGUGGAAUUUCCUGUGUAGCGGUGAAAUGCGUAGAUAUAGGAAGGAACACCAGUGGCGAAGGC